rnacentral:rRNA from 1 species
AUUGAACGCUGGCGGCAUGCCUUACACAUGCAAGUCGAACGGUAACGCGGGGCAACCUGGCGACGAGUGGCGAACGGGUGAGUAAUGUAUCGGAACGCGCCCAGUUGUGGGGGAUAACUGCUCGAAAGAGCAGCUAAUACCGCAUACGACCUGAGGGUGAAAGCGGGGGAUCGCAAGACCUCGCGCAAUUGGAGCGGCCGAUAUCAGAUUAGGUAGUUGGUGGGGUAAAGGCCCACCAAGCCAACGAUCUGUAGCUGGUCUGAGAGGACGACCAGCCACACUGGGACUGAGACACGGCCCAGACUCCUACGGGAGGCAGCAGUGGGGAAUUUUGGACAAUGGACGCAAGUCUGAUCCAGCCAUGCCGCGUGCGGGAAGAAGGCCUUCGGGUUGUAAACCGCUUUUGUCAGGGAAGAAAAGGGCGACUCUAAUACAGUUGCCUCAUGACGGUACCUGAAGAAUAAGCACCGGCUAACUACGUGCCAGCCGCCGCAGUAAGAC